GAGUUUGAUCCUGGCUCAGGACGAACGCUGGCGGCGUGCCUAACACAUGCAAGUCGAGCGAUGAAACCCUUCGGGGUGGAAUAGCGGCGGACGGGUGAGUAACACGUGGGCAACCUGCCUUAUAGAGGGGGAUAGCCUUCCGAAAGGAAGAUUAAUACCGCAUAACAUAUCUUUGCUGCAUGGCAGAGACAUCAAAAGAGCAAUCCGCUAUAAGAUGGACCCGCGGCGCAUUAGCUAGUUGGUGAGGUAACGGCCCACCAAGGCGACGAUGCGUAGCCGACCUGAGAGGGUGAUCGGCCACAUUGGAACUGAGAUACGGUCCAGACUCCUACGGGAGGCAGCAGUGGGGAAUAUUGCGCAAUGGGGGAAACCCUGACGCAGCAACGCCGCGUGAAUGAAGAAGGCCUUAGGGUUGUAAAGUUCUGUUUUCUGGGACGAUAAUGACGGUACCAGAGGAGGAAGCCACGGCUAACUACGUGCCAGCAGCCGCGGUAAUACGUAGGUGGCAAGCGUUGUCCGGAUUUACUGGGCGUAAAGGAUGCGUAGGCGGAUGUUUAAGUGAGAUGUGAAAUACCCGGGCUUAACUUGGGUGCUGCAUUUCAAACUGGAUAUCUAGAGUGCAGGAGAGGAAAGCGGAAUUCCUAGUGUAGCGGUGAAAUGCGUAGA
rnacentral:rRNA from 1 species